UACAGAGGUCCCAAGCGUUGUUCGGAUUCACUGGGCGUAAAGGGUGCGUAGGUGGCAGGGUAAGUCGGAUGUGAAAGCUCGGAGCUCAACUCCGAAAUGGCAUUGGAAACUACCCAGCUCGAGGGUUGGAGGGGGGACUGGAAUGCUUGGUGUAGCAGUGAAAUGCGUAGAUAUCAAGCGGAACACCAGUGGCGAAGGCGAGUCCCUGGACAACUCCUGACACUGAGGCACGAAAGCUAGGGGAGCAAACAGG
rnacentral:rRNA from 1 species